UUUUUUUUUUUUUUUUUUAUGUUUGAGAUGUACAUAGGUCUUUGAAGUUCUAUGUAAAUGGGAUUUUCAAUGUCAAGUUAGUAGAAUUAUAGUUUUUUGUACUCUAGUAUAUUACUGCUAGUUGCUUCAUUCCUUCACUUUCCUUGGUGAUUGUGAACACAAGAUUAAGUUGUAUGCCAUGUAAAAACAAGAAAGGAAACCAAAUGUAUGUAUAAAAUUGUAAGACUGUAAUAGCUAGCUAUGUUAUAAGACUGUAAUAACAAUUAAAAAAAAAAACUAUGUUCAAUUCUCAAUGUAGGAUUUCAAUUGAAGUACUUAGGAACCAAAAUUCAUUCAUUUACAAUUUAUCCCAAUUGGAAAGAGAACAAAGAAACAAUUUUCGAAACAAAAUCAUCUCGGC
rnacentral:lncRNA from 1 species